GAUGAACGCUAGCUACAGGCUUAACACAUGCAAGUCGAGGGGUAGCAGGGUAGCAAUACCGCUGACGACCGGCGCACGGGUGAGUAACACGUAUCCAACCUUCCCAUAACUCGGGGAUAGCCUUUCGAAAGAAAGAUUAAUACCCGAUAGUACUUAUAUAGGGCAUCCUACAUAAGUUAAAGAUUUAUUGGUUAUGGAUGGGGAUGCGUUCCAUUAGAUAGUUGGUGAGGUAACGGCUCACCAAGUCUUCGAUGGAUAGGGGUUCUGAGAGGAAGGUCCCCCACAUUGGUACUGAGACACGGACCAACUCCUACGGGAGGCAGCAGUGAGGAAUAUUGGUCAAUGGGCGAGAGCCUGAACCAGCCAAGUAGCGUGAAGGAUGAAGGUCCUAUGGAUUGUAAACUUCUUUUAUAGUAGAAUAAAGUUAGCCACGUGUGGUUAUUUGUAUGUAUACUAUGAAUAAGGAUCGGCUAACUCCGUGCCAGCCGCCGCGGUAACAC
rnacentral:rRNA from 1 species